UUAGGGCCGGUUGUUUCAAACCAUUAGUCUUCGUAACUUACAUUCGUUAAAAUUUAACAGAUACAGACGAACUUUAACAUCUGUUAAUUUUAUAGCGUUGCUUCAUUGAAAAAAAACAUUUCGUCAUUGUCAUUAGGGUUACGAAACUAGCC